CUUUUCUUUUCUUACCUUUUUUUUUCUUUUCUUUUUCUCUUUUUUUUUCUUUUUUUUUUUUUUUUCAGACGGAGUCUCUCUCUGUUGCCCAGGCCAGAGUGCAGUGGCAGGAUCUUGGCUCACUACAACCUCUGCCUCCUGGGCUCACACGAUUCUCCUGCCUCAGCCUCCUGAGUAGCUGGGAUUACAGGCGUGUGCCAUGAUGCCUGGCUAAUUUUUGUAUUUUUAGUAGAGACAGGAUUUCGCCAUGUUGGCCAGGCUGGUCUCGAGCUCCUGACCUCAGGUGAUCUGCCCGUCUCAGCCUCCUAAAGUGCUGUAAUUACAGGCAUAAGCCACUAAACCCAGCCUCUUUUCUUUAAAAAAAAAAAC
rnacentral:lncRNA from 10 species